rnacentral:lncRNA from 1 species
AAAUUGGGUUACGUUCAUCAUAAAAUGAUUUGAAGGAGGCAUAAUAAAUUCAACAACAUAUUUAAGUUCAUCAUAUAUAAAUCAAUCCACUUCUUAUGAUCAACUUCUCUACAAAGUUUUAUUUUAAAAUAAAGAAAAUAAAAAAAAACAUAUAAAAGGACAAAGAGUCUCUAGUUGUAAGUUCUGAUCUUCCCACUCAGUCUUCUCAUGUUAUUUCCAUGGUUCGGUUCUG